AGCACGUCUGUUGGGUAAUUUGUGUAACCUGUGCUGUUGCCCAAACAAGUAAAGAAGAGAACUACCCCAAUAGCAAAUGGUUAAUGUAGGAACUCUGUAACGCCAGUGAAGAUGUAACAAAACUCCCCCUGGUUUCAUCUCACAGAAGGGAUGUUACAUCACACCAAUGAGUAUAGCUGAUGCUUGCUGUUUUUACCAGCAGCAGAGGAUUUGUCCC